GAUGAACGCUGACAGAAUGCUUAACACAUGCAAGUCGACUCGAGUCUUCGGACUUGGGUGGCGCACGGGUGAGUAACGCGUAAAGAACUUGCCUCUUAGACCGGGACAACAUCUGGAAACGGAUGCUAAUACCGGAUAUUAUGGUUUUUUCGCAUGGAGGAAUCAUGAAAGCUAGAUGCGCUAAGAGAGAGCUUUGCGUCCCAUUAGCUAGUUGGUGAGGUAACGGCCCACCAAGGCAAUGAUGGGUAGCCGGCCUGAGAGGGUGAACGGCCACAAGGGGACUGAGACACGGCCCUUACUCCUACGGGAGGCAGCAGUGGGGAAUAUUGGACAAUGGGCCACAAGUCUGAUCCAGCAAUUCUGUGUGCACGAUGACGUUUUUCGGAAUGUAAAGUGCUUUCAGUCGGGAAGAAGUCAGUGACGGUACCGACAGAAGAAGCGACGGCUAAAUACGUGCCAGCAGCCGCGGUAAUACGUAUGUCGCAAGCGUUAUCCGGAUUUAUUGGGCGUAAAGCGCGUCUAGGCGGCAAGGAAAGUCUGAUGUGAAAAUGCGGAGCUCAACUCCGUAUGGCGUUGGAAACUGCCUUACUAGAGUACUGGAGAGGUAGGCGGAACUACAAGUGUAGAGGUGAAAUUCGUAGAUAUUUGUAGGAAUGCCGAUGGGGAAGCCAGCCUACUGGACAGAUACUGACGCUAAAGCGCGAAAGCGUGGGUAGCAAACAGG
rnacentral:rRNA from 1 species